UAAUGGCUCACCAAGGCGACGAUCCCUAGCUGGUCUGAGAGGAUGAUCAGCCACACUGGAACUGAGACACGGUCCAGACUCCUACGGGAGGCAGCAGUGGGGAAUAUUGCACAAUGGGCGAAAGCCUGAUGCAGCCAUGCCGCGUGUAUGAAGAAGGCCUUCGGGUUGUAAAGUACUUUCAGUUGUGAGGAAGGGGNUGUCGUUAAUAGCGGCAUCUCUUGACGUUAGCAACAGAAGAAGCACCGGCUAACUCCGUGCCAGCAGCCGCGGUAAUACGGAGGGUGCGAGCGUUAAUCGGAAUUACUGGGCGUAAAGCGCAUGCAGGUGGUUCAUUAAGUCAGAUGUGAAAGCCCGGGGCUCAACCUCGGAACUGCAUUUGAAACUGGUGAACUAGAGUACUGUAGAGGGGGGUAGAAUUUCAGGUGU
rnacentral:rRNA from 1 species